rnacentral:tRNA from 1 species
GGUGCUAUAGUGUAGUGGUUAUCACUCGGGAUUUUGACUUGAGGGUUUGAACACCGUAAGGAUUCCCGAGACCCAGGUUCGAACCCUGGUAGCACCU